rnacentral:misc_RNA from 1 species
GAUGAAGAACGCAGCGAAAUGCGAUACUUGGUGUGAAUUGCAGAAUCCCGUGAACCAUCGAGUCUUUGAACGCAAGUUGCGCCCGAAGCCACUAGGCCGAGGGCACGCCUGCCUGGGCGUCACACGCCGUUGCCCCCCCAUCUACUCCUUCGGGAUUGCGGGGGGGCGGAUGAUGGCCUCCUGUGCGCCUAGCCGCGCGGUUGGCAUAAAUACCAAGUCCUCGGCGACGCACGCCACGACAAUCGGUGGUUGCGAAACCUCGGUUGCCCGUCGUGUGCGUUCGUCGCGCAUCGAGGGCUCGAAAAAAUGCUCGGCUCCGGCUGGGCUUUCAACGCGACCCCAGGUCAGGCGGGGUUACCCGCUGAAUUUAAGCAUAUCAAUAAGCGAGGA